GUCGAGUAUCUGGUACGCUGAUGGCAUUGCUGUGGGUGACUGUGAAUAUUGAAAAGAAGCAGAAAAGCCUCUGACCUUGAGGUAACCCGAACCCAGGGCACCUGAGCUGAGCACACGGGUGAGAAGGGUUGGACUGCUAAGCAUCAAAGGAGGGUAAGGGCAGUCCAUCUGCACACCAUAUUGCCAGCCGUGGGGAUGCGGGGGAGUGGUACACAGAGUCUGCCUCUGUGGUCUGUCUGCUGCAGGAGCCCUUUCCACACGGGAAACAGAACAAGGGCCUGGGCACUCCUCACACCACCAGAGCAAUACUGUUCCAUCUCAUCUGCCCGUUCCCUUGCCACCGGGAUUGCCUCUCUUCUGUCACAGCAUCUCUGUCUGGCUUUCCCGUGGACCUCCAUUCGAAGAAAUGUCAGAAUGGAAGGCUUGACGGCAAAUAAUUUCAGUCACCCACAUUGACAACUGUGUACUAAGUGUGAGCCAUCUUCUUCGCCCCAACACCGAUUACUACAAAAUGAUAGUGCUCUUCUCACGUGAAUCAGACCCACUUAAGGAAAAGCCGUGGGAGAAGAAAGGCUUCCAGCUCUACUUAUUUCCCAAGAAGAGCAGAGUGACCUUGGCCUUAUUACUGUGUGUUCUGGCCCUGGAGCAGGGAUGGGGGAGACCAUCUCUUCCCUCAGAGUUACCCACCAGGCUUUGCGCUGAAGUUCCAGCAUCAGGUAAAAUCCCCCUAGCCUCAAGGGAAGCAAAUGAUUGGCUAACAUUGGCAGCCAGAGCCGCCUGAGGCUUUGCCGAGGUUCACCCCAGUUCAUGCCUUCAAGUGUCCUUGUCUCUCUGGAAAGCCAGCGCCCUCAAGAUUUGUAACUUGGCUGCGGUCAAAUAACUUUGAAAUGGAAUGUUGUAUCUCAAGAUUGAUAGCCCAGUGGGCACCAAGAUCUCAUUUGUUUCCUGCCCAGGAAUUUUUCAGCGGAGGAGAGGUGAAGGCGGAAGUGUGGAGCGGAAUAUCAAGAUAGCUAGUGGGACCCACGGGAACAUCACUGCUGGGAGCUUCCUGGGAACCCGGCUCCACAGUUUGUCUGGGUUGCCACUCACUCCUUGGGUGAGGAGCUGGGGAACAAGGUACUAUGGAUGAAGGAGAUUCAGAGUGCUCUUCUGCAGUCCUUCCUGAGGACCUAGCGGUCAUUUCUCCAGCUCUACCCACUGGUGGCUUGCUGUUGAACCCCUUGGCCAAAAAGGACUGCCUUGCUCGAGCUUAUGAUCCCUCUGUGGUGAUAUCUUGAAUCUCAAGACUGGUCAACAUGGAGUUCCACUCUUUGCCCCUGCUGGCCAGCUCUGUGACCAUCCCAGGUCAUUUGGCACUGGCCCAGGCCUCUGGGAGAAUGCAGCAUAGCUCACCUUUUCCUUCCACCCAGCCCUAAUAUCCCACCCAGCUGGGGCUCCCCAGUACCCACGGCUGUCUCAUCUCAUCCCAUCUGUUCCUUGGGAAACCUCACCUGUGACAGCUCUUCCAGCAUGCCCUGAGAGGAGAGGCGCCUAAUAAGCACAAAAGAGGAAAGCCUCCACACGUGAGUGGAGAACAAUACACUGACAUCCAUUCGAUAUUCAGACUCCAUGACCAGCUUCCUGUUCCCCAUUUCUGGGGUUGGGUAGAGGGAGAACAGAGCUGUUGGUGUGACCAUAGUAAAGAACAUGCCAAUGAGGAGACUUACCUCAUCUCUUCCCCAGAAGGCCAUCACACUCUGAGAAGAACAUGCCUCUUAAAUCCGAGAACCUUUGCUACGUUCACGGGCACGUUUCUCCAUUUGGGAGAGAUCAAAAUAGGAACAUUGGGGCGGGGAGAGCCACAGGAGCUCUGACUGUGAGUAGGAAGUGGGUGAACCUCACCCGCGGAACGUGAGGCCAGGGAGACUCUCCACUUCUUCUACAUUUAUACCUAAAAUUCUAGGAACGCCCUGAAAUUUGGGUUUUGAAAAAAAAAAAACCAAACCGAGUAACCUCUUAUUAAUAUGCAAAAUAAGAGGUUAUCAGCUUAUAAAUUUUAGUGGCCAGCUAGCUUAGAGCUAGGAGGAAUGUAGGCGAGAGUAGGUUAUGGUGGUGAGGGGCAGGCAGGAAGAACCAGCUAGAACUGCCCUACCACCUCCUGAGCCUGAGAUGCCAGGAGCCAAAGAGAUGUUCCCCACCACACCUAUAGAGGAAAAUAUGAUUUACAUUAUCAUAAAGACAUGCCAUAGGUACUUGCUACUGUGGCAAGAGUUUCUCGGCUUCGAUUUAUAGACAGUGAUGCAAAGUCUUCUCUUAAAAUAAGUGUCUAUAAAUACAAAUGAGUUCUAUCCUGUGACGUAUUAUACAAGCAGCGCACAGAAAUCACUUUGAAGAUAUCACAAUGGUGGUAUGUGAAUGAGGAAAGUCUGAUAUUAAGCCUGCUGUUUGGGGGUUCAGAAGAAUUAGAUAAAAGGCACGGUUAGCUACUGUGUUGUAGAAACACAGCAAGUAUUAAAUAAAUGCCAAAUGCUAUCACUUAGAAUUUAUGGCAGGUUGUUCCAACUGUGUACAGUUUUCACUGUUGUUUCUGAUAUGUCCCUAACUGGGCUGGUUUUUCCCUCCCUGUUACGUAUUAGAUAAAAUGGGUUCAGGGUAUUAGAUAAAAUGGGUUUUAGUCCCUAG